rnacentral:rRNA from 1 species
CCUACGGGAGGCAGCAGUGAGGAAUAUUGGUCAAUGGCCGGAAGGCUGAACCAGCCAUGCCGCGUGAAGGUCAGUGCCCUAUGGGCGUUAAACUUCUUUUGUGCGGGAGCAAUAAUGGUUACGUGUGGCCAGAUGAGAGUACCGUACGAAUAAGCAUCGGGUAAAUUCGUGCCAGCAGCCGCGGUAAUACGGGGGACGCAAGCCUUAUCCGGAUUUCUUGGGGUUAAAGGGUGCGUAGGGUGGGAGGUAAGUCAGCGGGGAAAUGCCCCCGCUCAACGGUCUGAAGUGCCAUUGAUACUGCCUGGCUGGAAUGCGGAUGCAGUGGGAGGAAUGUGUGGGGUAGCGGUGAAAUGCAUAGAUAUCACACAGAACACCGAUUGCGAAGGCAGCUCACGAAGCCGCGAUUGACGCUGAUGCACGAAAGCGUGGGUAUCAAACAGGAUUAGAUACCCGGGUAGUC